GACGAACCGUACGAACGUUAUUCGGAAUCACUGGGCUUAAAGGGUGCGUAGGCUGCGCAGCAAGUUGGGUGUGAAAUCCCUCGCUUAACCGAGGAACUGCGCCCAAAACUGCUGUGCUCGAGGGAGAUAGAGGUGAGCGGAACUUAGGGUGGAGCGGUGAAAUGCGUUGAUAUCCGUAAAGGAACACCGGUGGCGAAAGCGGCUCACUGGAUCUCUUCUGACGCUGAGGCACGAAAGCAGGGUAGCGAACGGG
rnacentral:rRNA from 1 species